rnacentral:rRNA from 1 species
GAUGAACGCUAGCUACAGGCUUAACACAUGCAAGUCGAGGGGCAGCAUGAACUUAGCUUGCUAAGUUUGAUGGCGACCGGCGCACGGGUGAGUAACACGUAUCCAACCUGCCGAUGACUCGGGGAUAGCCUUUCGAAAGAAAGAUUAAUACCCGAUGGCAUAGUUCUUCCGCAUGGUAGAACUAUUAAAGAAUUUCGGUCAUCGAUGGGGAUGCGUUCCAUUAGCUUGUUGGUGGGGUAACGGCCCACCAAGGCAUCGAUGGAUAGGGGUUCUGAGAGGAAGGUCCCCCACAUUGGAACUGAGACACGGUCCAA